CACUCUACAUAUCUCCUCCUAACUACACUCUCCUGAGGUAACUACACUCUACAUAUCUCCUCCUAACUACACUCUCCUGAGGUAACUACACUCUACAUAUCUCCUCCUAACUACACUCUCCUGAGGUAACUACACUCUACAUAUCUCCUCCUAACUACACUCUCCUGAGGUAACUACACUCUACAUAUCUCCUCCUAACUACACUCUCCUGAGGUAACUACACUCUACAUAUCUCCUCCUAACUACACUCUCCUGAGGUAACUACACUCUACAUAUCUCCUCCUAACUACACUCUCCUGAGGUAACUACACUCUACAUAUCUCCUCCUAACUACACUCUCCUGAGGUAACUACACUCUACAUAUCUCCUCCUAACUACACUCUCCUGAGGUAACUACACUCUACAUAUCUCCUCCUAACUACACUCUCCUGAGGUAACUACACUCUACAUAUCUCCUCCUAACUACACUCUCCUGAGGUAACUACACUCUCCUGAGGUAACUACACUCUACAUAUCUCCUCCUAACUACACUCUCCUGAGGUAACUACACUCUACAUAUCUCCUCCUAACUACACUCUCCUGAGGUAACUACACUCUCUACAUAUCUCCUCCUAACUACACUCUCCUGAGGUAACUACACUUUCCUUAGGUAACUACACUCUCUACAUAUCUCCUCCUAACUACACUCUCCUGAGGUAACUACACUCUACAUAUCUCCUCCUAACUACACUCUCCUGAGGUAACUACACUCUACAUAUCUUCUCCUAACUACACUCUACAUAUCUCCUCCUAACUACACUCUCCUAAGGUAACUACACUCUCUACAUAUCUCCUCCUAACUACACUCUCCUGAGGUAACUACACUCUACAUAUCUCCUCUUAACUACACUCUCCUAAGGUAACUACACUCUCUACAUAUCUCCUCCUAACUACACUCUCCUGAGGUAACUACACUCUCCUUAGGUAACUACACUCUCUACAUAUCUCCUCCUAACUACACUCUCCUGAGGUAACUACACUCUACAUAUCUCCUCCUAACUACACUCUCCUGAGGUAACUACACUCUACAUAUCUCCUCCUAACUACACUCUCCUGAGGUAACUACACUCUACAUAUCUCCUCCUAACUACACUCUCCUGAGGUAACUACACUCUCUACAUAUCUCCUCCUAACUACACUCUCCUGAGGUAACUACACUCUCUACAUAUCUCCUCCUAACUGCACUCUCCUGAGGUAACUACACUCUCUACAUAUCUCCUCCUAACUACACUCUCCUGAGGUAACUACACUCUACAUAUCUCCUCCUAACUACACUCUCCUGAGGUAACUACACUACAUAUCUCCUCCUAACUACACUCUCCUGAGGUAACUACACUCUACAUAUCUCCUCCUAACUACACUCUCCUGAGGUAACUACACUCUACAUAUCUCCUCCUAACUACACUCUCCUGAGGUAACUACACUCUCUACAUAUCUCCUCCUAACUACACUCUACAUAUCUCCUCCUAACUACACUCUCCUAAGGUAACUACACUCUCUACAUAUCUCCUCCUAACUACACUCUCCUGAGGUAACUACACUCUCUACAUAUCUCUUCCUAACUACACUCUCCUGAGGUAACUACACUCUCUACAUAUCUCCUCCUAACUACACUCUCCUGAGGUAACUACACUCUCCUUAGGUAACUACACUCUCUACAUAUCUCCUCCUAACUACACUCUCCUGAGGUAACUACACUCUACAUAUCUCCUCCUAACUACACUCUCCUGAGGUAACUACACUCUACAUAUCUCCUCCUAACUACACUCUCCUGAGGUAACUACACUCUACAUAUCUCCUCCUAACUACA